GACGAACGCUGGCGGCGCGCCUAACACAUGCAAGUCGAACGGAGUCAAGAGGAGCUUGCUUUUCUUGACUUAGUGGCGAACGGGUGAGUAACGCGUGAGUAACCUGCCCUGGAGUGGGGGACAACAGUUGGAAACGACUGCUAAUACCGCAUAAGCCCACGGAUCCGCAUGGAUCUGCGGGAAAAGGAUUUAUUCGCUUCAGGAUGGACUCGCGUCCAAUUAGCUAGUUGGUGAGGUAACGGCCCACCAAGGCGACGAUUGGUAGCCGGACUGAGAGGUUGAACGGCCACAUUGGGACUGAGACACGGCCCAGACUUCUACGGGAGGCAGCAGUGGGGGAUAUUGCACAAUGGGGGAAACCCUGAUGCAGCGACGCCGCGUGGAGGAAGAAGGUUUUCGGAUUGUAAACUCCUGUCGUUAGGGACGAUAAUGACGGUACCUAACAAGAAAGCACCGGCUAACUACGUG
rnacentral:rRNA from 1 species